UUUCAAGUUAACUUUGUAUUAUGGCAUUCGAGCACGGUUCUGAUUCAGAAGAGAUAUUGGAGAAGAAAAAACCUCCAAACCUGAGUACAUGACUGGUCUUGAAGAGAAAGAUUGAAUCAAGUGACCUGCAUGAAGGGGUUUAUGUGUUCACAAAACAACAUCAACAAGGCUUCAAUGGAUGCAGGUAAGGACAUACCAACCUUAUGGCACAUCAGAAUGGGACAUUCCUCAAAUCAAGUCCUUCAACAUAUUUCACAUUUAGUCAAGUGCAGUUUUGAUCGAGUAAAUUAUUGUGAUGUAUGCUACAAGGCAAAAUAAUGUAGAAACUUUUUCCCUUUAAGUAUUAAUAAAGCUGAAGCACCUUUUGAAUU